AAGUCGUAACAAGGUUUCCUUCACCUAUUGAAGCCUUCAGCAGCGACUGUAAAGAAAUGCGUAGUUUGCUUGCAAGCAAUGCCACUCAAAUGCUGAGACAUAUGAAUCAGCAGCCUUUUAGGCUCACAGAUCAAAUUGUGGUAACCAUUCUUAUGGGCAAGAUAUGACCGGUCUUAACUAGAGUUAGUUAAGAAUCCACGUUCCGUAGGUGAACCUGCGGAAGGAUCAUUAUCGAAUUUUGAAAGGGGUUGCUGCUGGUCUUUCGGGACAUGUGCACACUUCUUCUCAUCCAUUCUUACA
rnacentral:misc_RNA from 1 species